ACAUGUCAUGUCGAGCGGGGACAGGAGAGCUUGCUUCUCGCUGACGAGCGGCGGACGGGUGAGUAAUACUUAGGAAUCUACCUAGUAGUGGGGGAUAGCUCGGGGAAACUCGAAUUAAUACCGCAUACGACCUACGGGAGAAAGGGGGCAACUUGUUGCUCUCGCUAUUAGAUGAGCCUAAGUCGGAUUAGCUAGAUGGUGGGGUAAAGGCCUACCAUGGCGACGAUCUGUAGCUGGUCUGAGAGGAUGAUCAGCCACACCGGGACUGAGACACGGCCCGGACUCCUACGGGAGGCAGCAGUGGGGAAUAUUGGACAAUGGGGGCAACCCUGAUCCAGCCAUGCCGCGUGUGUGAAGAAGGCCUUUUGGUUGUAAAGCACUUUAAGCAGUGAAGAAGACUCCAUGGUUAAUACCCAUGGACGAUGACAUUAGCUGCAGAAUAAGCACCGGCUAACUCUGUGCCAGCAGCCGCGGUAAUACAGAGGGUGCAAGCGUUAAUCGGAAUUACUGGGCGUAAAGCGAGCGUAGGUGGCUUGAUAAGUCAGAUGUGAAAGCCCCGGGCUUAACCUGGGAACGGCAUCUGAUACUGUUAGGCUAGAGUAGGUGAGAGGAAGGUAGAAUUCCAGGUGUAGCGAUGAAAUGCGUACAGAUCUGGAGGAAUACCGAUGGCGAAUGCAGCCUUCUGGCAUCAUACUGACACUGAGGUUCGAAAGCGUGGGUAGCAAACAGGAUUAGAUACCCUGGUAGUCCACGCCGUAAACGAUGUCUACUAGUCGUUGGGUCCCUUGAGGACUUAGUGACGCGGCUAACGCAUUAGUAGACCGCCUGGGGAGUACGGCCCAAGGUUAAACUCAAUGAAUUGACGGGGGCCCGCACAGCGUGAAGCA
rnacentral:rRNA from 1 species